GGCAACAAUCCCAUUCUUCUC
rnacentral:miRNA from 1 species